UCCAAAUUUCAUUGCCCCCAUUCCCAUCACAUUCCUCACGAGACUCGCCAUCCGCUCGAGAGUCUUCUCGUUGUGUGUAUCCAAUGGUGUCGCUUAAGUCAUCAAGUCCAGCCAGAUAAGGUGCUCCGAAUCGGAACCAAUUGAGCGAGUGGCGAACGGGACAAAGGGAGCACAUUUCCAUGGGCCAGGACAUGGGUUCAGGACAUUGGGCAUACAUCCACAUGGCCAGUCAGUCAGACAACCAGUCAGCCCGACAGCUUAACUCGGUUGACAUUUAUCUGGCUUUUGCAUUUGUGCAUUGCUGUUGCCAUAGCGCCACGCCCACCCACAAUCGGAAUGGGCGUCCCAUUGAUGACGCUGGCGACUUUCAUUCACAAAACUGCAGCAUUUCAAGGCAGGAACGGAGUGGCAAACGUCAGCAGUGAAUGGAAGAGACAGCCAUGCAACCACCCCCUUUUGCUCCUCGAUGAAAAUGUGGAAAAUUGUGCAGACCCCUCGGCUCUCCAUCUUCUUUGGAUGUCCUUCGUCGUGGAUGUGGAUGUGAAUGUGAAUGUGAAUGUGGAUGCAGAUGUGGAUGUGGAGAAGCUGGGCGGCGGAGGUGACUUGGCUAAUGAAGACCAAUGACGUCCGACGGCUUACAAAAGCACUCGGAACAAAAUGCUUAAUCGUUCUCGAAUUUAAAUGAAUAGCAUUAGCUCAACUGGCAUUCCUUUCAUGAGGAACACACAUUUUGACUUGAUAAGUCUUCUAAUUAGGCAUUGAAUUCGCAGUUACUAUGUAUUCCUAAAAAGCAACAAGGAUAUGAAAGGGAUAUUUUGUGAUAAUUUUCAGAUAUAUUUAAGAUACAUGUGUGCAUUCAAGGCCUUACAGAAAUAAAUCGAUGCAAUAUGAGUAUCUUUUUGGUAAUUUUCCAUAUCAUUUU
ensembl:ncRNA lncRNA:CR45605 long non-coding RNA:CR45605